CAACAAACGAAAGGAGGUGAUCCAGUGUCUCAUUGUCUGUGUCCGCGGUCCGCCGCUCCCGUGACCUGGGUCCGUACCUUCGUGGGGAUCCGCGCCGUGUGAUCAUCACGUCGUCAUGGUCGAUGCCGGCCGUGGUUUGGCAAUGCGAAGGCCGCCCCCCCGCAGGGCGGCCUU
rnacentral:sRNA from 1 species